UACGAAGGGGGCUAGCGUUGCUCGGAAUCACUGGGCGUAAAGGGUGCGUAGGCGGGUUUUUAAGUCAGAGGUGAAAUCCUGGAGCUCAACUCCAGAACUGCCUUUGAUACUGAAAGUCUUGAGUAUGGGAGAGGUGAGUGGAACUGCGAGUGUAGAGGUGAAAUUCGUAGAUAUUCGCAAGAACACCAGUGGCGAAGGCGGCUCACUGGCCCAUUACUGACGCUGAGGCACGAAAGCGUGGGGAGCAAAUAGG
rnacentral:rRNA from 1 species